AAGACUAGACUUUCAGGGAUCAUUUCUAUGUCUGUUACUAGAGAAGUUUCUCUGAACAUGAUGGUCGGGGGAGGGAGAGGGAGAAAGACAUGCUC
rnacentral:snoRNA from 1 species